GCGUGUACAGGGGGUGAAGGUGGUGUGGCUGUACCUGGUGGGUGGGGUCGGGGGUUGCGUGUGCAGGGGGUGAGGGUGGUGUGGCUGUACCUGGUGGGUGGGGUCGGGGGUUGCGUGUGCAGGGGGUGAGGGUGGUGUGGCUGUACCUGGUGGGUGGGGUUGGGGGUUGCGUGUGCAGGGGGUGAGGGUGGUGUGGCUGUACCUGGUGGGUGAGGUCGGGGGUUGCGUGUACAGGGGGUGAAGGUGGUGUGGCUGUACCUGGUGGGUGGGGUCGGGGGUUGUGUGUGGAGCAUGUGCACUGUGCGGGUGAGAUCAGGGUGUGCACUUGCUGUGACUGUACGAGACGUGUGUAGGUGUAACAGGGGCCUGGCUCGCACAUGACACCCUGUUGCACCGCACCCGGCCCUGGGCCCAGCCGCCCUCCUCUCCGGUUCCUGCUGGGCCCCAGAGCCCCGGAGCCGCUGCCGGCUGUGCACUGAUUUCCGGAGCUUUGCAAUGACUCGGCCCUGCCAGGACGCCUGCCUCAGCACCCUCUGCCUGCCUGUGGACAAAGGCUCCCGCUGGGACCCGCCUCUCCUGUACAUACCCCUCCAAUCCCGAUCCGGACUCUCUGCCGGGGCCUGGUCCUGGACGCGGCUACGCAAGAGCCCGGUGCCGUCGUCUGGAUCUGAACUCUGCCGACCGGCCUCCCCCAGCCAUUGCCGCUGGCUCCACCUGCCCGGGCACUGCCGGCGGGUGGCACGGGGCCCUUCUGUUUCUUUUGCCUAUUCUCAGCAUGUGGCUGCGGGCACGCAGCGUGUACCGUGUGUGGUAGAGACGAUGCGUCACGUUCUGUGAGCAGACUCUGCUCUCUGUCCUGUGUUAACCUCCCCCCCCCAUGCCCCGGCUGAGUGCCGUCCCGGGGAGGAUGGGUCCCGUGUCUUUCCACGGGGGGGAGAGGGGGGGGUGCUGGUUAAAAAAAGAGGAGAAACCGAGUCUCUCGGCCCCUGACUUGUCUGUCCUGGAUUCUGUAGCUUUGGUUGAAUAAAAGUAUGCAACACG